rnacentral:rRNA from 1 species
GACGAACGCUGGCGGCGUGCUUAACACAUGCAAGUCGAACGGAAAGGCCCUGCUUUUGUGGGGUGCUCGAGUGGCGAACGGGUGAGUAACACGUGAGUAACCUGCCCUUGACUUUGGGAUAACUUCAGGAAACUGGGGCUAAUACCGGAUAGGAGCUCCUGCUGCAUGGUGGGGGUUGGAAAGUUUCGGCGGUUGGGGAUGGACUCGCGGCUUAUCAGCUUGUUGGUGGGGUAGUGGCUUACCAAGGCUUUGACGGGUAGCCGGCCUGAGAGGGUGACCGGCCACAUUGGGACGGAGAUACGGCCCAGACUCUUACGGGGGGAAGGAGGGGGGAAUAUGGCACAAUGGGCGGAAGCCUGAUGCAGCAACGCCGCGUGCGGGAGGACGGCCUUCGGGUUGUAAACCGCUUUCGCCUGUGACGAAGCGUGAGUGACGGUAAUGGGUAAAGAAGCACCGGCUAACUACGU